ACUGAAACCAGGCUCUGAAGAUAACUUAGCAUGAGAGGUCUCUUUGUCUGCUGCGGUGAAUGCACCCUGCCAUGCCUGGACAGUGCACCAAGAUGCACACACAUGGAACAGAAUCUGAAUUUUCCUUCUGGAGUGGCAUUCAAACAAAUUGUUGCACUAAAUCCUUCCUGUGAAAGGGGAGAAGAAAAGCUGGCAGUUUCCCAUCCCCACCUUUAUGCUUCUGUCAACACCUGCCGGCUGAGCUGGCAGAGAAACCUUGGAAUUUUCUGCCGUUCUUCUCACCUGUUCCACUUUCACAUUUCUGCAGCCUCUAGGUUGUUUAAUUAGCAGACCUCAUUUAUCCACUCCCCAGAGGCUUUUCAAGAGAGUUCACUCCUCUCAAGAGCACCAUAAGCUCCAAGAGAGCUUCCAGCUAGAUGCAGCAAGAAACCUCCAUGGAAGGACGCAGGCAGUGGAGCGGGCUAUCCUGAGAAGUUUUCCAGACCCAGCAGGACAAAGCUCUAUGCAACCUGGUCUGACUUCAAGGCUGACUCUGCUCUGAUCAGGAGUCGCACCAGAGAUCUCCGGGAUGUCCCUCCCAUCUCAGUUAUCCUCUGAUCCUACCCCAUGCUCCUUAACAGCACAUGUAGUCUCCAGUGUUACAGUCACUAAGUAACACGUAAGUAACAGCAGCACUAACUGAAUAUCUGAAAAUACACUGGUUCAGGAUUAAUCCAGUAUUGUAAGUGCUAACCAAUUAUGGAAUUACAGACACAGCUUGUAACUAUAAUUGAAAUACACUUAUUUAUGAUGAAGCAGCCUAAACAGAAAGUCUCCAAAAUUGAAGAUUUCCACAUCUUUAACUGACAAAACUACUCAAAAAUCCCAUGAUGGAUAAUGGCUUAUGGACCUUCCUAGGCAGCACGUCAUGCAUCAACACACUCUUGCCAUUGUAGAAUCAUACAUGUUAGAGUUACAUGACUUUUUAGGCAGCUGAAUGGGGACCCAGGCACCCAGCCAAGGCCAAAGCACAGGUUUUGUUCAUUCUUGGUAACGUACCUAGCUCUUCCCAUUACAGCUGCAUGCAUGGUGAAUUGCAAAUCUCAUUUUUUCAAGAGUAGAGGAGGCCUGCAAUUUUGCCUGGGCUAACCAGUACAAAUAAUGCAGAUCCAAAGGAAGGCGUUCUGAAGGAAAUCUAGCAUUGCAGAUCUCUAAUCAGUGAGUUAUGCCACAUAAGUUCUGCCACACAUCCAAUUACAAAGGCUGUAAGUUCGUAAAUAAAAUAAAGGAAUUAC
rnacentral:lncRNA from 7 species